rnacentral:rRNA from 1 species
UACGGAGGGUGCAAACGUUGCUCAGAAUCAUUGGGCGUAAAGCGCACGUAGGCGGACUGUUAAGUCGGAUGUGAAAUCCCUCAGCUUAACUGAGGAAGUGCAUUCGAAACUGGCAGUCUUGAGUAUGGAAGAGGGUCGCGGAAUUCCCGGUGUAGAGGUGAAAUUCGUAGAUAUUGGGAAGAACACCGGUGGCGAAGGCGGCUCUCUGGACCGAUACUGACGCUGAGGCGCGAAAGCGUGGGGAGCAAACAGG